rnacentral:rRNA from 1 species
CCUCUUCCCAUUCCGAACAGAGAAGUUAAGCCUGACAGCGCCGAUGGUACUGCGAAAGCGGGAGAGUAGGUCGUCGCCGACU